GUAAUUAUAGUUUAACAAAAAUAUUAGAUUGUGAUUCUAAAGACAAAAGUUAGAACCUUUUUAAUUACC
rnacentral:tRNA from 1 species